rnacentral:rRNA from 1 species
UGCAGUCGAGCGGCAGGGCCUUCGGGCCCCUAUAGCGGGGGACGGGUGAGUGAACGUGGACAAUCUGCCCCCCGGGCCGGGAUAACCCGCGCAAACCUGGAUUAAUACCGGAUGAAACGGGACCCGCGGAGGCGGGAUCCGGGAAAGGCGCUGCGGCGCCGCCGGGGGAUGAGUCUGCGUCCCAUUAGCUAGACGGCGGGGUAACGGCCCACCGAGGCGACGAUGGGUAGCCGGCCUGAGAGGGUGGACGGCCACAUUGGAACUGAGACACGGUCCACACUCCUACGGGAGGCAACACCUAAGAAUCUUCCGCAAUGGGAAAAAGCCUGACUGAGCGACGCCCCGUGAACGAAGAACGCCGUGAGGUUGUAAAGUUCUUUUCGGGAGGGGGAACAACCUUGGCAAGGAAUGGCCGCGGGAUGACGUGAAUCCCGGAAUAAGCCCCGGCUAACUACGUGC